rnacentral:rRNA from 1 species
AUCUCCUUAAUCGGAGAGUUCCCUUCGGGGACAUUGGUGACAGGUGGUGCAUGGUUGUCGUCAGCUCGUGUCGUGAGAUGUUGGGUUAAGUCCCGCAACGAGCGCAACCCUUGUCUUUAGUUGCCAUCAUUAAGUUGGGCACUCUAGAGAGACUGCCAGGGAUAACCUGGAGGAAGGUGGGGAUGACGUCAAAUCAUCAUGCCCCUUAUGCUUAGGGCUACACACGUGCUACAAUGGGUAGUACAGAGGGUUGCCAAGCCGUAAGGUGGAGCUAAUCCCUUAAAGCUACUCUCAGUUCGGAUUGUAGGCUGAAACUCGCCUACAUGAAGCUGGAGUUACUAGUAAUCGCAGAUCAGAAUGCUGCGGUGAAUGCGUUCCCGGGUCUUGUACACACCGCCCGUCACACCACGGGAGUUGGAGACGCCCGAAGCCGAUUAUCUAACCUUUUGGAAGAAGUCGUCGAAGGUGGAAUCAAUAACUGGGGUGAAGUCGUAACAAGGUAGCCGUAUCGGAAGGUGCGGCUGGAUC